rnacentral:tRNA from 1 species
AUGCUCGUGGCUCAAUGGAUAGAGCGUCGGCUUGCGAAGCCGGAGAUUGCAGGUUCGAUUCCUGCCGGGC